rnacentral:rRNA from 1 species
UGAGGAAUAUUGGACAAUGGGCGCAAGCCUGAUCCAGCCAUGCCGCGUGCAUGAAGAAGCAUCUAUGGUGUGUAACCUGCUUUUGUACGGGAAGAAACACUCCUUCGUGAAGGAGCUUGACGGAACCGUAAGAAUAAAGAUCGGCUAACUCCGUGCCAGCAGCCGCGGUAAUACGGAGGAUCCAAGCGUUAUCCGGAAUCAUUGGGUUUAAAGGGUCCGUAGGCGGUUUAGUAAGUCAGUGGUGAAAGCCCAUCGCUCAACGCUGGAACGGCCAUUGAUACUGCUAGACUUGAAUUAUUAGGAAGUAACUAGAAUAUGUAGUGUAGCGGUGAAAUGCUUAGAUAUUACAUGGAAUACCAAUUGCGAAGGCAGGUUACUACUAAUGGAUUGACGCUGAUGGACGAAAGCGUGGGGAGCAAACA